AUGGUGGUAGCUUAGUGGUAGAGCACUUGUCUUGCACAUGUGAGGCACUGGGUUUGAUUCUCAGCACCACA
rnacentral:tRNA from 1 species